UUAUAUUUGGGUACAGCUUUUUUACGAGUUCCCUCCUCAUCACUGGCUCAUCUUGGGGUUCUGGGCACUCCCCCCGCUUUUAGCCGGCUUAUCAAAAAUUGCAUGGCAUUGCAGCAGGCUGGGAAUGCUAGUGGGUCCACGGAUCCAAGGGCCCCCUCCGAAAUGUCGGCAUAGCCACAAUUCCUGACAUUCGUUGGCUGAGAUUAAUGCUCCUUUGGUUGCAGCCGCCAAGCCGCCAAGUCGACGAGGGCAGGUCAAGGGCCCGAGGUCUGAGGUCUGAGGUCUGAGGAGUCUGGGCCACAAGAAGUUCUGGCCUAUACUCUAAACAAAUCGGAGUUCAAGGGCUGUGCGGAGACCACGUGGUGGCGAUAAAGUUCUUCCCAGAAGCCUACUACUCAAUUAAUUUAUAACUAAGUAAACAAACAAUACUGAAGUUGAGUGGAUGCACAUGUACGAUCUAAAGUUGCGGAGAAUUUCCAUCUCUUCUAAAACCACAGUAUAAAGAACUUCAGAAUGUUAUACAAUAGUAUAGUACUUUAGGAAAAGGGUAUCCCAAUGUCUCUACUUCCAUGUACAUCUCAGCUUCACUGCUCUUUUUUUGGGCCUUGUUGUCGACCUCAACAGCAGUUUAAGUUCCAGUCUCGGAUUGCGCAAUAAGAGCCCUCAGAAAUAUACAAGAAAAAAAAGAAAAAAUAGAGAGCGAGAAAAGAACGAGGCAAGAAAGGAGCCACACAGCAAAUUGUUAAAAAUAAUUUAUAUUAAAACGCAGCACAAAAAGACAUUGCAAUGAAAAUUGUGCAAACAAUUCGAGUCCAGAAAAAAAGCAGGCGAAGAGAUGCCAGGGAGAUCCGGCCAUCCAGAUAAGCCAGGAGGAGCAGCCAGGAGGAGAAGCAGCCAGGAGGAGAUGGCCCAGGGAUCCGGGAGCGAAACCCAGAGCGGCAAACAAAUGUCCAAAUGAUAUUUUGUCAUAAUAAAUGGCACAACUAUGAUUAUUUAUGACUCGAA